AGUGAACGCUGGCGGUAGGCCUAACACAUGCAAGUCGAACGGCAGCACAGUAAGAGCUUGCUCUUACGGGUGGCGAGUGGCGGACGGGUGAGGAAUACAUCGGAAUCUACUUUUUCGUGGGGGAUAACGUAGGGAAACUUACGCUAAUACCGCAUACGACCUACGGGUGAAAGCAGGGGAUCUUCGGACCUUGCGCGAUUGAAUGAGCCGAUGUCGGAUUAGCUAGUUGGCGGGGUAAAGGCCCACCAAGGCGACGAUCCGUAGCUGGUCUGAGAGGAUGAUCAGCUACACUGGAACUGAGACACGGUCCAGACUCCUACGGGAGGCAGCAGUGGGGAAUAUUGGACAAUGGGCGCAAGCCUGAUCCAGCCAUACCGCGUGGGUGAAGAAGGCCUUCGGGUUGUAAAGCCCUUUUGUUGGGAAAGAAAAGCAGCAGGUUAAUACCCCGCUGUUCUGACGGUACCCAAAGAAUAGGCACCGGCUAACUUCGUG
rnacentral:rRNA from 1 species